CCGCCGCCGGAGCUUCUUGCACCUCUCUCACCACCUCAAGAUGUUUCAUCUAUGAGUGAAGCUUGUAACGAACUAUAUAAAAGGAAGGAGAUAGCUGAAAUGGACCAAAAGGAAGUUAGGUGCCGAGAGACUCAAAAGGUUAACUCAGAUUGGACCAGCUCGAUUUCCACUACAUUUCUUUCGAAUGGUAAUGAGAUUUUGAAAACAUAUAAAUCUUAAAGAAUCAGAAAAAGAAGAAGAAGAACGACCAAUCAAAUUAUGAUUUCAUAGUUUCAUAUUGCAAUUGCGGAUACUGCCAAACCAUGUUACAGGAAUCAAUUGGUGUAAGUGUUUUCCAAUCAAAACAUGGAUUAAUGUUCUUUAUAAUCCACUUCAUGAAAUACAAAUUAAAAUGAAAUUGAAAAAGUGCAUAUGCAUAUAGAAAUCAUUUGUAUACUAAAUUUCUUUCGUCUAUUGCAAAGUUAUAACUGGCGGCGAUAUGUCUCAGCAUUAGUUUGAAUUGUAAUUUCAGUAGCAAAAUUGAAAAAAAAAAAAAGAAAGAAAGAAAGUGUGAUCUAUAGCAGCUUCAUCUAAAAACAUAAUGAAAUUGGUUGAGAUAUUACUAAAACAAUAUAUAAUAAUACUUUUAACAAAUCCAGUUUCUAUUAAAAAUAAAAAUUAGACACAUAACCAAGGACGAAUUGGUCUAGUGGUUAAAAAACUCGUGAACUUUCUAUUAAAAUCUUAAAAAUUACAUUUUCAUGUUUAUUAGGGAUGUUUUACUACUCAAAAGAAAAUUAAACCAUAUGGUAUGCACGCUUUAGAGGAUAUAUGGAUCAAUCAGUUCCUAUGUUUCCUAGUCAUUGAAUUUUUUAUUAAAACAUGUAUGCUAUAACAUCUAUACAGUUAGCUGACUGUAUUUUGCAUAACUAGACAAAUUCCAUCUUGUAAUAUUAUAAAGCAUAUAAUUUUGCAUUCUAGUGUCCAUAGUGGGAAAAUGUAAUCAAAGUACUGUAUGAAGUUAUAUACAAACAUUAUGAGACUUCAAAGUGUUCACUGAGGGAACAUAUAUUAAUAUAGUUUUUGUUUCUUUCCAUUCUCCUAUAAUCAUGCAUUGCAAUCUACACAUCAGUUUAGAUGCCAUAUUUUCAUAUUAUAGUCAUUUGUGUUCGGUGGUUAAUUAAGAAAAAAUUGUGAAAUUUUCUAUCUGAUAUUUAGAAGAAAUUAUUACAAAGCACAGGAUGCUCAUGAAGCUUUAUGCACGCGGUUUCUAAGUACGUUUUUGAGAAACCAUUCGAAUGGAUGGCAAUGAAAGUGGAUCCAUAAUGUGCACAAACAUAUUCUAUUCUCUGUACUACUGCUAAUAAUUUCUAUGUACUACUCUAAUAAUAAUAGCAAAUAUUUUGCGGAUAAUAAGAAACUAUAAUUCAAAGUAUUGUCUCCUAAAGGAUUUUCGGAAAAUAAAUAAAUAUAUAUAUCACUACUAAUGAGUAAUGCCUCUUACCUUCUGCCUAAUUGGUUACAUAUUUAUUUAUUUAAUAAGAGAACAUAGGGUCAAUAAAAGGAAAAAUACAAUGAAGGCAGCAGCAUACGGCGGCCUUCCAAUUACAGAAAGUCCAUAAUUCAUGGAACAUUGCUUUUCCUUAGGGGUGGGCAAAAAAACCGAACCGAACCGAUCGAACUGAACCGACCGAACCGAAAUUGAUUCGAACCAAACCAAAGUCUAUUUCAAAUCAUUCGGUUGAAGAUUUUUCCAACCCGAACGGUUCAGUUCAGUUCAGUUUAAACCGAACCGAACCGAUAAACCGAAGUGUUUUAUAGUUAUUUAAAUUAAAAAUAUUAGUAAUAUAUAUUAAAAUCCUAAGAUUAAACCCACGUAAUUUCCUUUUGCACGAAGAAAAUCCUAAUAUAAUUUGAUUUCCAUGACACUAAUAUAAUUUGUUAUACGGUUUCAUGCUUUUGUGUAACCAUUAUUGUAUUUCUCUCAAAGACAUGUUCUGUUUUCAAUUUUUGUUAGUGAAAAGAACAAUAUGGAAUCAUGGGUGUAGAGUUAUAGUAAAAAUAUAGAUAAAUACUCGUAUAGUAUAUGUAUAACAUAUACUAAUUAUUGAUUCGUUGCAGCUUUUUUUGAUGAUAUCACAUGGAAGAUGAUUCAUUACAUGUUUUUUUUAAUUCUUAAUGCUAUAAGAGACAAAAAUUGUUUUUUCUUUCUUUUUAUUUAGUUAAUUUUAGUUUGAUUGAAUUCUUAUAAAGUUAUAAACUAUAUUUGUAACUUUUUAAAAGGUUUUUAUUUUGGUUUUAUAUUGAAUUUAAUUUACAUACUUAAUUUUUUAUUAUGACCAACACAAUUAUUUCAUGACAACCAUACAUUUAUAUAUUAAAACAUGAUUUCUUGUACAAUAAAUAAACUAAGAGAAAUCCGAUUAAACUGAACCGAAUCGAAUAUGAACCAAACCGAAUAUAAACCGAACCGAACAUAACCGAACCGAAAUCGAUCCAAACCAAACUAACUAUGGUUUACUUCAGCUGGAAAAAUUCUAGAACCGAACUAACCAAAUCGAACCGAACUCGAACCGAACCGAUAAAAUAACCGAAGUGCCCACUUUUCCUAAUGAAAAGGAUACAACUAUAAGGGUUUAAUUGGUGACCAAAUUGAAUGAAAACAAUUACGGUAAAUUCUUUGUUUCUCAGAUUUUGUAUCAGUUGUGUUGUAAUUUGACAUUGCAGAUUCCAUUCUUUUUUUUUUAAUUCUUCAUGGAUGAAUGAAAUUAUAAAAAAAAAAUUUCUCUUCAAUUCUAGUGAGGAACAAAAUAAAAAAGAAUUAAUUUUCUUAUUUUUUCAAUUUUUUCAAAUGAAUUUUUAUUCAUUAUUUUGUUCAUUUUUUUUCAUUUAUCUAGUAGUCACCAAUCCAAGUCUAAUUUAAAUAUAAGCAAAAUGUUUAAACGGGGUAAAAAGUUGAAAGUCCCGCCAAAGAACUCGACAAAAACUCAUGAUAUUUGAUAAAAUUUCAACCGAUUAUACCAUAACAAACUGUUUUCAUGUAUUAUUACUUAAAAACUUUGAAAUAGUGAACUAUGAUAACACAAACUGAUGUUUUAGAACUAUUUUCUCAAAUAGAAGGUACUAUUUAUUUUUUACUAUCAAGUGGUUUAAACCUUAAUUUUCUCAUUCGAACUAGUAAACCUAAAUCUAUACACUAGUAUAGUUUUAUUACAUAAUUAAAGGUUCUAUAAAUUAAUAAACAAAAUUUUAAUAUAAAAUCUGAUUCCAAGUUGGCCAAUGUAAGAUAUGUUAAGAUAAUAAAAUAGUAAAUUAGAAAAACUAAAAAAACUUAAGUAAAUAUAUGAUCCUAUUAAAAUUAUAAAUUAAUAGUUACUAGAUAUACAUAAUUUAUUAUUAUUAAAAUUAUAAAUUAAUAAUUACUACAUAUACAUAAUUUAUUAUAUAAAGUUUAUUUAAAUGUAAAAAAUACUAUUAUGUUAUUUAUUUUUUCAAAAUAAAAUUCAUCCUUUGUAUAGAAUUUUUAUGAUAUGUUAAAAUUGUAUUUUCUGGCUCUUUUAAAACUUAAAACUUUGAUAAUUUAUAAUACUAAUCGCCUGCAAAACAUAUCCUAAAAAUUAUUUUUCUCAUUUUUUCAUUUUUUUGUUCUGUGAAUAAUGUAUAUGUUUGAUUUUUUUUUAAUUUAUGCCAUAGUGUCAAUUAAUUAAUUUAUUUUCGUUAGAAUUUAUACCAUUAUUUUUUGGUUGACGUGGUUUUAGAAAACUAUCAGGUAAAAUAAUAUAUAAUCAGGAAUAUAAUUUUCAACGGAAAUUUGAUAUUUUUAUUUGGUUUUAUAUUUUUAAUGUUUGGCUAUUAUUACAUUUUAACGUUAGUAUUUAAAACAUUUUGGUUUUAGAAUAACUCAUGAUAAUUAGAAGAUAUGAACUUGUUUAACAUGAUACGAAUUGUUUUAUUUAUAUAAUUAAUAAACUAUUAAAUUAUUUUUGACAUGUUGUGAAAUCGGACUUAUUGGGUGAUCCAAUAAUUAAAAGCUUGUUUGGUUCACUAUCUAUUUCAAUUUUCAUAACAUUGUCGAAAGGAACUGGUCAUUUUCCCCGAACAUGACAGGUCGGGAUCUGAAUCGAUAACUAUUGAAUCAAAUGUUUCCAUGAGAAAAUACGGUUGAAAACAUUUUGUAGGCUAAUAAAACAAAAUCUAAGUGGUUUAGUAUGACAAUUAAAUUUUAAAACCAAUGAGACAAGAGGAUGGUGAUGGUCUGAAUCGGACCGCAUUUAGUUUUUUUUUUCUUUUUGAAAGCAGGCCGCAUUUUAUUGUGUUCCUCUUACUGAUCGUCGCAAUUGCUUCCACGUUUUUUGUCCAGCUUCACAUAUUUUAUUUCAACUCUCACUUUUUA